GAAGUCUAACAUGUGCGCGAGUCAUUGGGUGUCAAACCUAAAGGCGGAAUGAAAGUGAAGGGCUGCUUUGCUUUCCGAGGGAGGAUGGGCAUGUCAGCUUCACGGGCGGUGCCCCGCACUCCCGGGGCGUCUCUUUCUCACUGCGAGUAGAGGCGCACCCAGAGCGUACACGUUAGGACCCGAAAGAUGGUGAACUAUGCCUGGUCAGGACGAAGCCAGGGGAAACCCUGGUGGAGGUCCGUAGCGAUUCUGACGUGCAAAUCGAUCGUCAGAGCUGGGUAUAGGGGCGAAAGACUAAUCGAACCAUCUAGUAGCUGGUUCCCUCCGAAGUUUCCCUCAGGAUAGCUGGUGCUCGUGUGAGACGAGUCUCAUCCGGUAAAGCGAAUGAUUAGAGGCCUUGGGGCCGAAACGACCUCAACCUAUUCUCAAACUUUAAAUAGAUGAGAACUCCGGCUUGCUUGAAAGUGAAGCCGGAGAUUCGGAUCAGAGUGCCCAGUGGGCCAAUUUUG
rnacentral:rRNA from 1 species